UGAGUUUUAUUCUUACAGAAUAUAUGGGGAGUUUUUGUGGUUAAACAAGAUAUUACAUGUUGGUCAGUGAGCUUAAGAGGUGCAUGUAAGCUGAAUGUGUUACUUUUGGACAAUACCAUUCUAGCUGUUUCUACCUGUUAUUUCAGAGCCAAGUUAAAUCAUACAAAAUCAGAAGUGUGGACUCUUGAUAGCUGAAACAAUCAUGAUGUAACAUGUUAACUAAGCUAACUGGCUGCUAUCAGUAGCUUGAUAUUGGACUGACAGAUAUGAGAGUGGUACCAAUCUUGUCACCUAAAUUUCUGCAAGAAUUUACUUUCAGAAAAUACACACAACCUGUUUCCACCCUUCACAGCUACGUUAAGUGAAUUCAUACAAAAUGCUAGCUUUUUCCAGUCACAAUUGUUCAGCUAAGCUAACCGGCUGCUAUCUGUACCUUGAUAUAGUAAGAGAAUGCUAUCAAUCUUGUCAUCUAAUUCUUGGCACAAAUUUACUAAAAUGUCAAACUAUUCUCAGUGUUGGUCUAUAAAAUUGUGAGUGCAGAGAUCUUAAGUCUGUGUUUGUUGCCUUUUUUUUUUUUUUUUUUUUACACACUUUCUAAUUCCAACUUCUUCAAAGUGACUUUGCAAAGUUAAAAUGUUUCUGGCACCAAAACCCGGUGUAGUCUUGUUAUUCCCACUCGUUUAAUCCCCCUCCAUCUCUCCCCUGAGCUGAUUAUAAUCAGAUUAGUGCUCCGUGGAGGAGGGCUGCAUGAAUGAGCAGAUGCUAAUAGCACAGGCACAUCCCGGUUAGGCAUACUUAAAGGUGGGCAACCAUUUUGCAAAACAUUCAGAUCACACUGUUGUGAGAGUGAAGCUCGCAUUUCUGCAUCCGUUCUCUUCAUGUCUACACCAGCGGCGACCCUUCACAUCCUCCUGUGUCCUCUCAAACAAAGCUGGCUGCCAUUCUAACAGUGUAAGGAGUGUUUUUGGCAACAGUCUCCGCAGUUUCUCACUGAGUAGACUCGCUACUUCCAAGUUUCAUUAACAGAGGAUGGUGAAUCUCUGACCUUUGGCACUGAAUUUUUAGCUGUUGAGUACAGCAUGGAGGAGAGCUGUAUAAUCAUUAAUCAGCAAUAAACACACAAACUGCUUUAUGGGUGUAGAUACAGAUUUUGAAGCAGUACCACCGUCAUCAAAACAAAAGUCUUAUUUUUCUAACAAAAGUAAAGAUUCUUGAGGUUCAGUAUCUUGCUCAAGGACACUUUGACAUGUAGUGGGGGGAGGGGUUUCAAACCAGGAACCAGCAAGGAGAUGUAUAAAGUAGCAGAAAGUGGACAUACUCAAGUACAGCAGGCUACUAGUACCUCAACAUUACACUCAAGUAACAUACUUGAGUGAAUGAACAUAGUUGCAUUCCAUCAACUGACUUAUGAUGUGAAGUACAGUCCAGCCAAAUCCAUGUCAGCCCUGUGAAGUAAGCGGUUGGCUAAAUGGUGUGAAGAGGCAAACGCCAUGCAGCCAUCUCCAUGGAAACGGUUGUACAGACACGGUGGAAUGCAGAGCAACAAAGACACUAUUUCUAAAACCUUUCCGAACAUUUAGAAAUCAACUUCACUGAGCUUCAUACGUAACCAAACCACGCCCACGUGUCAUGCUCAGACUGGGUCAUCAGCAAUGACGACUUUGCAGAAGUACACUCCACUGUCGCCCCACUGCAGCUCCCCGAUACGCAGGUCUGCCUCUGCACAGAGACAGGAAAUGAGGUUAGAUGUGCUACUGGAGGUGAGGAGGCAAAUGAGAUCAAGGACAACAAGGCAGUGCUCAGCCAGCGUCAUUGAUUGUCCCUGCGCUGAGGCAACAACCCGGACUGUGCGGCUGCUGUCGGAGCACUCCAGGUGGGACGUGGCGCCCAGCUCAGAGGCCUGGACGGCCAGAGUCUCGGGCACGGUGAAGG